rnacentral:rRNA from 1 species
UACGAAGGGGGCUAGCGUUGUUCGGAUUUACUGGGCGUAAAGCGCACGUAGGCGGAUCGUUAAGUCGGGGGUGAAAUCCUGGAGCUCAACUCCAGAACUGCCUUCGAUACUGGCGAUCUUGAGUCCGGAAGAGGUGAGUGGAACUCCUAGUGUAGAGGUGGAAUUCGUAGAUAUUAGGAAGAACACCAGUGGCGAAGGCGGCUCAGCUGGUCCGGUACUGACGCCUGAGGUGACGAAAGCGUGGGGAGCAAACAGG